UAACCGAAUAGGGGAGCCGAAGGGAAACCGAGUCUUAACUGGGCGUUAAGUUGCAGGGUAUAGACCCGAAACCCGGUGAUCUAGCCAUGGGCAGGUUGAAGGUUGGGUAACACUAACUGGAGGACCGAACCGACUAAUGUUGAAAAAUUAGCGGAUGACUUGUGGCUGGGGGUGAAAGGCCAAUCAAACCGGGAGAUAGCUGGUUCUCCCCGAAAGCUAUUUAGGUAGCGCCUCGUGAAUUCAUCUCCGGGGGUAGAGCACUGUUUCGGCAAGGGGGUCAUCCCGACUUACCAACCCGAUGCAAACUGCGAAUACCGGAGAAUGUUAUCACGGGAGACACACGGCGGGUGCUAACGUCCGUCGUGAAGAGGGAAACAACCCAGACCGCCAGCUAAGGUCCCAAAGUCAUGGUUAAGUGGGAAACGAUGUGGGAAGGCCCAGACAGCCAGGAUGUUGGCUUAGAAGCAGCCAUCAUUUAAAGAAAGCGUAAUAGCUCACUGGUCGAGUCGGCCUGCGCGGAAGAUGUAACGGGGCUAAACCAUGCACCGAAGCUGCGGCAGCGACGCUUAUGCGUUGUUGGGUAGGGGAGCGUUCUGUAAGCCUGUGAAGGUGUGCUGUGAGGCAUGCUGGAGGUAUCAGAAGUGCGAAUGCUGACAUAAGUAACGAUAAAGCGGGUGAAAAGCCCGCUCGCCGGAAGACCAAGGGUUCCUGUCCAACGUUAAUCGGGGCAGGGUGAGUCGACCCCUAAGGCGAGGCCGAAAGGCGUAGUCGAUGGGAAACAGGUUAAUAUUCCUGUACUUGGUGUUACUGCGAAGGGGGGACGGAGAAGGCUAUGUUGGCCGGGCGACGGUUGUCCCGGUUUAAGCGUGUAGGCUGGUUUUCCAGGCAAAUCCGGAAAAUCAAGGCUGAGGCGUGAUGACGAGGCACUACGGUGCUGAAGCAACAAAUGCCCUGCUUCCAGGAAAAGCCUCUAAGCAUCAGGUAACAUCAAAUCGUACCCCAAACCGACACAGGUGGUCAGGUAGAGAAUACCAAGGCGCUUGAGAGAACUCGGGUGAAGGAACUAGGCAAAAUGGUGCCGUAACUUCGGGAGAAGGCACGCUGAUAUGUAGGUGAAGCGACUUGCUCGUGGAGCUGAAAUCAGUCGAAGAUACCAGCUGGCUGCAACUGUUUAUUAAAAACACAGCACUGUGCAAACACGAAAGUGGACGUAUACGGUGUGACGCCUGCCCGGUGCCGGAAGGUUAAUUGAUGGGGUCAGCGCAAGCGAAGCUCUUGAUCGAAGCCCCGGUAAACGGCGGCCGUAACUAUAACGGUCCUAAGGUAGCGAAAUUCCUUGUCGGGUAAGUUCCGACCUGCACGAAUGGCGUAAUGAUGGCCAGGCUGUCUCCACCCGAGACUCAGUGAAAUUGAACUCGCUGUGAAGAUGCAGUGUACCCGCGGCAAGACGGAAAGACCCCGUGAACCUUUACUAUAGCUUGACACUGAACAUUGAGCCUUGAUG
rnacentral:rRNA from 1 species